rnacentral:rRNA from 2 species
AGCAGCCGCGGUAAUUCCAGCUCCAAUAGCGUAUAUUAAAGUUGUUGCAGUUAAAAAGCUCGUAGUUGAAUUUCGGGAUCAGAUUGUUGGUCGUGCCUCGGUACGCACUGGCAUUAUUGGUUCCUACCUUCUGAAGAACCGCGAUGUCAUUAAUUUGGUGUCGUGGGGAAUCAGGACUGUUACUUUGAAAAAAUUAGAGUGUUUAAAGCAGGCGCACGCUUGAAUACAUUAGCAUGGAAUAAUGAAAUAGGACGUUUGAUUCUAUUUUGUUGGUUUCUAGGAUCGACGUAAUGAUUAAUAGGGAUAGUUGGGGGCAUUAGUAUUCAAUUGUCAGAGGUGAAAUUCUUGGAUUUAUUGAAGACUAACUACUGCGAAAGCAUUUGCCAAGGAUGUUUUCAUUAAUCAAGAACGAAAGUUAGGGGAUCGAAGACGAUCAGAUACCGUCGUAGUCUUAACCAUAAACUAUGCCGACUAGGGAUCGGAUGAUGUUAAUUUUUUAAUGACUCA